rnacentral:rRNA from 1 species
UACGUAGGGGGCUAGCGUUGUCCGGAAUCAUUGGGCGUAAAGCGCGCGUAGGCGGCCCGAUAAGUCCGCUGUAAAAGUCCAGGGCUCAACCCUGGAAUGCCGGUGGAUACUGUCGGGCUAGAGUCCGGAAGAGGCGACUGGAAUUCCUGGUGUAGCGGUGAAAUGCGCAGAUAUCAGGAGGAACACCGAUGGCGAAGGCAGGUCUCUGGGCCGAUACUGACGCUGAGGAGCGAAAGCGUGGGGAGCGAACAGG